CUUUAAUGCCCACAACACCAUUUUCAGAAAGCUCCAACUUAAAACCAAAAAAAAAAAAAAAAAAAAAAAAAAAAAAAAAAAAAAAAAAAAAGAAUCCUUUAUUCUCUGCUUGUGUCCAUGUACUGGCCUACUGGUCCCAGCUUUGAGGAUUCAGUUGGGAGAAAAGUUGCACGACUCGGUUCCGUUGAAGGUAUGGAUGCGCUUGAAGAUGCACACCCCCUGUUUAGCUCGCAGGACUUGCUGGUGACCCAUGUGUUCCCAAAGCUGGACUAGGAAGGGAGGGAUGCCAUUGAGUUGACUUACAAGAAAUGGAGGAUGUGGUAGAGGCUCAGGCACUUGGUGUUCACCUACCCCUUCAACGGCCCCAGGGCUGCUAAGAGUGGGUCCUGAAAUAUGUCCUCUACAACAAUGGGAGGGACCUUCAUGCUUGGAUGGAGAAGGACAUGACUGUGUACUUUGACGGCUUCCCAUUGCUGUUCAAGGAGGAGGAAGCCUAGGGACCAUGGGUCUAGUCUAUGGAGCUGUUGGUUUUUGGGUUAGGUAGCUGCUUGGUUUAAGCUUUUUUUUUAUGUUUAUUCUGUAAAAAUUGGGGGUAGUUGUAGUCCUACCUUUGUCAUGGCAAGAUGUAGGGGCAUGUGACAAGCAAUGGUAUUUCAUUUUGUGCUUGUCAAUGCCAUGACAAUGGUUUAGUAGUUUAAGUUGGUGUCUCUGAAUCUUAUGAACUAAUUCUGAUGAUGAUGAUUUGUAAAUAUUAAAUAUUUUGGUUGUAAUGAAUGGAUACAUGGACUUAUUUCCAUGUUUUUAUAAAAUGAAAUGAAGUAGUUUGU